GACGAACGCUGGCGGCGUGCCUAAUACAUGCAAGUUGAGCGAUGAAGAUUGGUGCUUGCACCAAUUUGAAGAGCAGCGAACGGGUGAGUAACGCGUGGGGAAUCUGCCUUUGAGCGGGGGACAACAUUUGGAAACGAAUGCUAAUACCGCAUAACAACUUUAAACAUAAGUUUUAAGUUUGAAAGAUGCAAUUGCAUCACUCAAAGAUGAUCCCGCGUUGUAUUAGCUAGUUGGUGAGGUAAAGGCUCACCAAGGCGAUGAUACAUAGCCGACCUGAGAGGGUGAUCGGCCACAUUGGGACUGAGACACGGCCCAAACUCCUACGGGAGGAAGCAGUAGGGAAUCUUCGGCAAUGGACGAAAGUCUGACCGAGCAACGCCGCGUGAGUGAAGAAGGUUGUCGGAUCGUAAAACUCUGUUGGUAGAGAAGAACGUUGGUGAGAGUGGAAAGCUCAUCAAGUGACGGUAACUACCCAGAAAGGGACGGCUAACUACGUG
rnacentral:rRNA from 1 species